UCAAAACAGCACUUGUUGCACAAAUAAGUGUAGCAUAGAGCACGCCACCCCGAAAUCAAUGUGAAAUACCCUGGCAUUUGCAACAGUAGGCAGCAUGUCCUUAAAACGUAUGGGUCCUCAAAACAGCACUUGUUGCACAAAUAAGUGUAGCUGGCCUCUUCAAGAAAUUGAAAUUAUGCAUGGUCACUUUUUCUUAUUGUUUCACGUGGAGGUCUACUGACAUUGUCUAAAUAAUGUAGGCUAGUUUAUGUCCAUGUAUUAUAUUAGGACCCAAGGUUAAUGGGUUAUUCUAUUUACCAUGUUUUCACAGGCUGCUGUCUCAUAAUAUGGCGAAGACGAGUCACUUGAAGGCCUAACAGCUCUUAUGAGGAGCAGUCUUGCCAUAGAAGACUGAAAGAAUGUAAGAUUAACUUCUUUGUGACCAAUAUGACUUGCUCAUUGAUACAUUUGCUAUGUCAAUAUGAGAUGCAUGGCGAAGUAUUUAAUUUAUUUGUCUCUCUUCUAGGAGCUGUAGAAACAACAGGGUGCCUGCUGCAGUAUGACGAGGACGCCCUGAUCAUAGAAGGUCCAGUGUCUUGGCAGGGUGAAAUGGCACUGAUAUCGUGUCCUGCAGGAUGCUGUGUCCUGCAAUCCUGUGUGCUGUGCUACAGACGCGUGUGGAGGUCAACCCGAAAUGGGCACAGUAGAGUGAAAGAGGAUCCUGGCAGGGAGACGGUAGUGUCCUGCAGGAUGGUGAUGGGCAAUCUUACAAGAGACCACAGAAAACUGAUAUAGUGUAAGAUUAUCCCUGUUGGGCUCAAUAUGUCUUGCUUAUUGAUAUAUUUGCUAUGUCAAUAUGAGGUGCAUGACGAAGUAUUUAUUUAUUUGUUGUUUCUACAGCUCCCAGAAGUGAGACUGAGUGCCUGUUGCAGUAUGACGAGGAAGCAGUGACCAGAGACCUUCAGUAGACCCUGCUGGCAUGAUUGGCGGCUGAAGAACAUGAAAUCAACAGCAAUGUUUAUAAUACUGUACAUACCUGUAUAGUCUGCACUAAAAUGCUGUACCUGUACUAUUUUUCCUCUUACUUUCAUAUUUACCACGUAUUUACUAUGAAUUGACAACUUUUACUCAAAUCCAUUUUUGUAUGUGCCCUGACUAAAACUAUCCUUAAACCUAACCUGUCAGAGGUGUAAUAACAACCUGCUCUUAGCAAUGUGGCAGCAGUCUACUUGGAUGCA